GACGAACGCUGGCGGCGUGCUUAACACAUGCAAGUCGAACGGAAAGGCCCUGCUUUUGUGGGGUGCUCGAGUGGCGAACGGGUGAGUAACACGUGAGUAACCUGCCCUUGACUUUGGGAUAACUUCAGGAAACUGGGGCUAAUACCGGAUAGGAGCUCCUGCUGCAUGGUGGGGGUUGGAAAGUUUCGGCGGUUGGGGAUAGACUGGCGGCUUAUCAGCUUGUUGGUGGGGUAGUGGCUUACCAAGGCUGUGACGGGUAGCCGGCCUGAGAGGGUGACCGGCCACAAUGGGACUGAGAUACGGCCCAGACUCCAACCGGAGGCAGCAGUGGGGAAUAUUGCACAAUGGGCGGAAGCCUGAUGCAGCAGCGCCGCGUGCGGGAUGACGGCCUUCGGGUUGUAAACCGCUUUCGCCUGUGACGAAGCGUGAGUGACGGUAAUGGGUAAAGAAGCACCGGCUAACUACGUG
rnacentral:rRNA from 1 species